rnacentral:rRNA from 1 species
AGAGCGAACGCUGGCGGCAGGCUUAACACAUGCAAGUCGAGCGGGCGUAGCAAUACGUCAGCGGCAGACGGGUGAGUAACGCGUGGGAACAUACCUUUUGGUUCGGAACAACCCAGGGAAACUUGGGCUAAUACCGGAUAAGCCCUUACGGGGAAAGAUUUAUCGCCGAAAGAUUGGCCCGCGUCUGAUUAGCUAGUUGGUGAGGUAACGGCUCACCAAGGCGACGAUCAGUAGCUGGUCUGAGAGGAUGAUCAGCCACAUUGGGACUGAGACACGGCCCAAACUCCUACGGGAGGCAGCAGUGGGGAAUAUUGGACAAUGGGCGCAAGCCUGAUCCAGCCAUGCCGCGUGAGUGAUGAAGGCCCUAGGGUUGUAAACCGCCUUCAGCAGGGACGAAAUUGACGGUACCUGCAGAAGAAGCCCCGGCCAACUACGCGCCAGCAGCCGC